GGAACAACCCCGGGAAACUGGGCUAACUCUUGNAUAGGCGAAGAACUCUGGAAUGAGUCUUUACCUAAAUAGUGCAACGUUAUGCUCGUUGCAUCGCCCAAGGAUGAGGCCGCGACCGAUCAGGUUGUUGGCGAGGUAAUGGCUCACCAAGCCUUUUACCGGUGCGGGCCGUGGGAGCGGGAGCCCGGAGAUGGGCACUGAGACAAGGGCCCAGGCCCUACGGGGCGCAGCAGUCGCGAAAACUUUGCAAUAAGCGAAAGCCUGACAGGGCUAUCCCGAGUGCCAUCCGCUGAGGAAGGCUUUUACCCAGUCUAGAACGCUGGGGGAAUAAGGAGAGGGCAAGUCUGGUGUCAGCCGCCGCGGUAAUACCAGCUCUCCGAGUGGUGUGGAUGUUUAUUGGGCCUAAAGCAUCCGUAGCUGGCUAAGUUAGUCCCUUGUUAAAUCCACCGAAUUAAUCGUUGGAUUGCGGGGGAUACUGCUUGGCUAGGGGACGAGAGAGGCAGACGGUAUUUUCGGGGUAGGGGUGAAAUCCUAUAAUCCCGGGAAGACCACNAGNGNCCGAAGGCUGUCUGCUAGNACGCGCCCGACGGUGAGGGAUGAAAGCUGGGGGAGCGAACCGGAUUAGAUACCCGGGUAGUCCNAGCUGUAAACGAUGCAGGCUAGGUGUUUGGACGGCCACGUGCCGUUCUAGUGCCGCAGGGAAGCUGUUAAGCUUGCCGCCUGGGAAGUACGGUCGCAA
rnacentral:rRNA from 1 species